rnacentral:rRNA from 1 species
UUUACCAUGAAGAGUUUGAUCCUGGCUCAGGAUGAACGCUAGCGACAGGCUUAACACAUGCAAGUCGAGGGGCAGCACGGUGUAGCAAUACACUGGUGGCGACCGGCGCACGGGUGAGUAACACGUGUGCAACCAACCCCGUACCGGGAGAUAACCCGCGGAAACGUGGACUAACAUCCCAUAANNNNNNNNNNNNNNNNNNAUUUAAAAUUCCGGUGGUACGGGACGGGCACGCGCGACAUUAGGUAGUUGGCGGGGUAACGGCCCACCAAGCCGACGAUGUCUAGGGGUUCUGAGAGGAAGGUCCCCCACACUGGAACUGAGACACGGUCCAGACUCCUACGGGAGGCAGCAGUGAGGAAUAUUGGUCAAUGGGCGAGAGCCUGAACCAGCCAAGUCGCGUGAGGGAAGAAUGGUCUAUGGCCUGUAAACCUCUUUUGUCAAGGAAGAAUAGACGGCACGCGUGCUGUUUUGCCAGUACUUGACGAAUAAGCAUCGGCUAACUCCGUGCCAGCAGCCGCGGUAAUACGGGGGA